CCUACCCCUAGAAGUCUUGCAGGUGUGGCUGCUGUGUCACAUGCGUGCCAGUAGGUGGCAAAGGAGAGACAGACUAUGUCUAUGCUUGUUCUGUCCUAGGAUCAUCUGGACAAUUAGUAGCCCAACAGU